AAGAAGGGGAGGAGCUCACUUCUCGGGCCUCCCCCGCGGGGGAUUCUGUACCAGAAUAACACCCCCGGGGCCAGGGUCAGGGCGGCGCACUCGCCCCCGCCUGUCCCAGCGCGAUCCCAUUCGGCGGGCCCAGGUAGCCUGCGGCUGAGAGAAGGCUCGGGUGACCCCCAGCCCCGCCUUCUGCAGGGCGCGCGAGGCCAGAGGAAAAAUCUUCGCUGAGUUGAUGAAGUUGAAGUUUCGUUCAGGGCGUGAAGGAGACGGCCAAUCAGCGGGCCGCUAUUUACAUGGGCUCUCUGAUUGGCUCUUACGGUGCCUCUUUAAAAUGUUACUUUGAGACCUUCACAGAACUAAAAGCCCCCCGUUGAGGGCGGGGGAAGGCUCAGAAGCUCCAAGGUUUCAUUGACACAGCCUGGAGACCCAGCUCUGUCAGUCAAUUCUACAUAGCCUUCACCCAGAGCCUGACAGUGUAUAUGAACAAGAGGCUGUGCCUGAUGAGUGCUUCUGCCACUUUCUCCAGGAUGACAGCCGUGGACUCCUGCCAUAUCCAACACCCCUUUGCUGCUCCCCACCGCCCUCCUUGGCACCCAGGUGGCUGAUCUCCUAUGGUCUUGCUGGCUUCUCUACCUUGUAUGCUGAGGGUAGGCCCAGCCUGCCCCAGCUCAGGGUCUGCACAUAGUAGGUGCUUGCAUGUUGCCUGCUAAACUGACAGCCCUGUAACCAUGUCAGCACAAAGCAACCAGCAUUUUGGGUGCAUCUGCAGUUAAAAUAAACCACUGAGGUCAUGGGUCUGUUCUCUCUGCAAAA